rnacentral:sRNA from 1 species
GGAACAGGCCUUUCAGGCAUCCUCUCCCAAAAAACUUUCAUGGGCCGGUCUUCGGAUCGGCCCUUUUUUUGUCCGAUU